rnacentral:rRNA from 1 species
GUCUAUGGCCGUACCACCUUGAAUGCGCCAAAUCUUGUCUGAUCUUGGAAGCUAAGCAGGAUCUGGCCUGGUUAGUACUUGGAUGGGAGACUAUCUGGGAAUACCAGGUGCUGAGGCU